UUAUGAUGUCGUAAGGGAAAAUAAUGAUAAUACCUUACUAAUAGUGUCGUCCAAAUCUGGUGCCAGAAGACUCGGUAAGACCAGAGACGCAAACGUUAAUCAUCAUAAUCAGGCGUAAAGGGUUUGUAGGCAGCAUUCACCAGACUAUGAAUAAUAAAAUAAAGUAGCUUUAAUUGAUUGCUAGAAUCAAAAAGAGGUUAUAGUGUAUAACGCCUAGAGGAGGGCUGAUAUCCAUAGAUCCUAGGCAGAAUACUAAGGGCGAAGGCCACUUUCCACUAAUGAUUGACGCUGAGAAACGAAGGUUAGGGUAGGAAAUAGGAUUAGAUACCCCGGUACUCCUUUCUGUAAACGAUGAAUGGUAGUCAUUAGUUAUAAAACUAGAGACGAAGUUAACACAAUAACCAUUCCGCCUUGUGAGUACUACUGCAAAGUAG
rnacentral:rRNA from 2 species